rnacentral:rRNA from 1 species
ACCUACGGGGGGCAGCAGUGGGGGAUAUUGCACAAUGGGGGAAACCCUGAUGCAGCGACGCCGCGUGUGGGAAGACGGUCCUCUGGAUUGUAAACCACUGUCCCCAGGGACGAAGAUGACGGUACCUGGGGAGGAAGCUCCGGCUAACUACGUGCCAGCAGCCGCGGUAAUACGUAGGGAGCGAGCGUUGUCCGGAAUUACUGGGUGUAAAGGGAGCGUAGACGGAGGAGCAAGUCUGAUGUGAAAAUCCGGGGCCCAACCCCGGAACUGCAUUGGAAACUGUUUAUCUAGAGUGUCGGAGAGGG